AGAGCCCAAACCAAGAAGCUUGCUUCUUGGGGUUGUAGGACACUCUAUACGGAGUUACAAAAGAAAGUUAUAAAUGAAGCGGUCUGGAAAGGCCCGCCAAAGACGGUAACAGCCCGGUAGUUGAAAUGGCUUUCCCUCCAGAGUGGAUCCUGAGUACGGCGGAACACGUGAAAUUCCGUCGGAAUCCGGGAGGACCAUCUCCCAAGGCUAAAUACUCCCUAGUGACCGAUAGUGAACCAGUACCGUGAGGGAAAGGUGAAAAGCACCCCGGAAGGGGAGUGAAACAGUUCCUGAAACCGUGUGCCUACAAGUAGUUAGAGCCCGUUAAUGGGUGAUAGCGUGCCUUUUGUAGAAUGAACC
rnacentral:rRNA from 1 species